rnacentral:lncRNA from 1 species
GGUCAUUGAAGGAAAUUGUUAACCGAGAGGAUUAAUUGAUUUUUUUUGUUAACAGUAGGGGCUUAAUUGGGUGCGAAUUUAAUAUAGGGGCUUGAUUGAUUUUUUGCAUUUUCUUAAGUUUUUUUUUUUGACAUAAAAGCCUUUUUAAAAUAUGUAAUAUGUUCCAAUAUGUUUGAUUGGUGUUAUCAAAUCUGAAUAACCAUGUUUAUUUGGUAAACUUCCAAGCUUGAAAAGUUACGAUUUUCAAAAAGACACUUAUGUACUUUUUGGUACAUU